GCACUCAAGCAAACCCUGUACUUCGGCUUUAGUGUUGAACGUGGGUCAAACGUAGUGCUACAUCAACUCACAGUGUAUCCAGACAAGCCUCCUUCUCCAUUGGAACUUGUCCCUACAACUUUGAGACAGAC